GCAAGUCGAGCGAGAAAGCACUUCGGUGCGAGUACAGCGGCGGACGGGUGAGUAACGCGUAGGAAUCUACCCGGUAGUGGGGGACAACUUGUGGAAACGCAAGCUAAUACCGCAUACGCCCCAAGGGGGAAAGCGGGGGAUCUUCGGACCUCGCGCUAUCAGAUGAGCCUGCGUAGGAUUAGCUUGUUGGUGAGGUAAAGGCUCACCAAGGCGACGAUCCUUAGCUUGUCUGAGAGGAUGAUC
rnacentral:rRNA from 1 species